UUUCCGGUUGAUCCCGCCGGACCUGACUGCUAUCGGAUUGAUACUAAGCCAUGCGAGUCUUUGUAGUAAUACAAGGCAGACGGCUCAGUAACACGUAGUCAACCUACCCUAUGGACAAGAAUAAUCUCGGGAAACUGGGCAUAAUUCUUGAUAGAUCAUAAUGCCUGGAAUGGUUUAUGGUUAAAAUGAUUCGUCGCCAUGGGAUGGGACUGCGGCCUAUCAGCUUGUUGGUGAGGUAAUGGCCCACCAAGGCGAUUACAGGUACGGGCUCUGAGAGGAGAAGCCCGGAGAUGGGUACUGAGACACGGACCCAGGCCCUAUGGGGCGCAGCAGGCGAGAAAACUUUGCAAUGUGCGAAAGCACGACAAGGUUAAUCCGAGUGAUUUCUGCUAAAGAAAUCUUUUGCCAGUCAUAAAACCACUGGUGAAUAAGGGGUGGGCAAGUUCUGGUGCCAGCCGCCGCGGUAAAACCAGCACCUCAAGUGGUCAGGAUGAUUAUUGGGCCUAAAGCAUCCGUAGCCGGCUUUGUUAGUUUUCGGUUAAAUCCAUGUGCUCAACACAUGGGCUGCCGAAAAUACUGCAUAGCUAGGGAGUGGGAGAGGUAGACGGUACUCAGUAGGAAGGGGUAAAAUCCUUUGAUCUAUUGAUGACCACCUGUGGCGAAGGCGGUCUACCAGAACACGUUCGACGGUGAGGGAUGAAAGCUGGGGGAGCAAACCGGAUUAGAUACCCGGGUAGUCCCAGCUGUAAACGAUGCAGACUCGAUGAUGCAUUGGCAUAAUAGCCAGUGCAGUGUCGCAGGGAAGCCGUUAAGUCUGCCGCCUGGGAAGUACGUACGCAAGUAUGAAACUUAAAGGAAUUGGCGGGGGAGCACCACAAGGGGUGAAGCCUGCGGUUCAAUUGGAGUCAACGCCGGGA
rnacentral:rRNA from 1 species